GUAUUUGCUUUGGCACCACGUAUACUAAAAUUGGAAUGAUACGGAGAUUAGCAUGGACCCUGCCCAAGGAUGACAAGCACAUUCAUGAAGCACUCCAUAUUUUU